rnacentral:tRNA from 2 species
UGGUGUGAAACUCAUGUGGUAGAGUAAUAGGCUUUUAACCUGAUAGUUGUUGGUUCGAAUCCAAUCACACCAU